rnacentral:ncRNA from 1 species
CUGAUGGCCGCGUUCGGGUCAAUUGCGGACUGCAACACCCGGUCUCACUCCCGGUGUCGCCCGCGAUGGCGACGCCGUCGGAGGGGGAGCGUGUCACCGUCAG